AUAGCGUAUAUUAAAGUUGUUGCGGUUAAAACGCUCGUAGUUGAACCUUGGGCCUGGCUGGCCGGUCCGCCUCACCGCGUGUACUGUCUGGCUGGGUCUUACCUCUUGGUGAGCCGGCGUGCCCUUUAUUGGUGUGCGUCGGGGAACCAGGACUUUUACCUUGAGAAAAUUAGAGUGUUCAAAGCAGGCCUGUGCCCGAAUACAUUAGCAUGGAAUAAUAAAAUAGGACGUGCGGUUCUAUUUUGUUGGUUUCUAGAGUCGCCGUAAUGAUUAAUAGGGAUAGUUGGGGGCAUUGGUAUUGAGUCGCUAGAGGUGAAAUUCUUGGAUUGACUCAAGACCGACUAUUG
rnacentral:rRNA from 1 species